CACAAGUUUGUGGGGCCUGAGCCUGAGCUCUAUGAUGGAUCUUUUGGUCCAAGACACUCACAGGAGACUCCAUAACUGCAUAUUGAAAUGGGAGCAGGUUAUUUAGUAUUGCAUCUACCUCCAAUGAGUUUAUGUAACAGAUUUCUUACAGAAAGUGUUGGUGUAGAGGCCGAGAAACCUUUUCCUUACCUUGGCUUGUCUAUAGUCCAUUUAUAAACACAUCGUGGGGAGGCAGAGAAAGAUUGAGAGACACACGCAGAGGGUGUGAUAGAGUCUCCAGGCCUGGCCAUGCUGGAAGGAACAGAGCCACAGAGAAAAGGGCAAAUUAACUGAUCCCACCCUGGAAAGGCUCUGAGCUUCUCUAGUGAAAAUUGUAUUCCAGAGUGAUCACUUACCAUCAGUGGGCUUUGGGUGCAUCAGAAUAAGAGGCAGCUCAACACCAACAUCGCUGGAAGGAAAAGCACACAUCUCUUAAAGGGGAAAAUUACACAGAGACAGUUGUGAGGGAAGAGCACAGAAUAUGUUAAAUCCUCCUGAACUGAUGGCCUUUUCAAUGGGCAUGAGUACAGGUCUGGCUGUCUCUCCUCAGGCUUGCUUAUAGCACCCUGGCAAUCAUUGAAACAUCCCACAAUACUUUGCAACAAUCAGAUAAUCAAAAUCGUAAUUAAAACUGA